rnacentral:tRNA from 1 species
GGCCCGGUCGCCUAGCGGUCUAGGGCGUCUCCCUUUCAAGGAGAAGGUCACGGGUUCGAAUCCCGUCCGGGCUA